UACAGAGACCUCAAACGUUAUCCGGAUUCAUUGGGCGUAAAGCGUCCGCAGGUGGCUUUGAAAGUUGAUGGUUAAACCCUGGGGCUUAACUUCAGGACUGCUGUCAAAACUUCAAAGCUCGAGACUGGGAGAGGCAAACGGAACUGCCGGUGUAGUCGUAAUAAGCGCUGAUAUCGGCAGGAACACCAAAGGCGAAGGCAGUUUGCUGGAACAGUUCUGACACUCAUGGACGAAAGCGUGGGUAGCGAAAGGG
rnacentral:rRNA from 1 species